UACGUAGGGCGCAGGCGUUGUCCGGAAUUAUUGGGCGUAAAGAGCUCGUAGGCGGCUUGUCACGUCGAUUGUGAAAGCCCGAGGCUUAACCUCGGGUCUGCAGUCGAUACGGGCUAGCUAGAGUGUGGUAGGGGAGAUCGGAAUUCCUGGUGUAGCGGUGAAAUGCGCAGAUAUCAGGAGGAACACCGGUGGCGAAGGCGGAUCUCUGGGCCAUUACUGACGCUGAGGAGCGAAAGCGUGGGGAGCGAACAGG
rnacentral:rRNA from 1 species